GCCGCCUAAACCUGUUUUCGCGCGCUCCCUCCGCCAUUGCGUUGCCCGCGUCGACUUCGCCGCGCUGCUGUGCGGGCGUCCUCGAAACGCUGCUGCGUUCGCGCGGCUUUCAUCGGCGUAGAAUGCCUGGAUGUUGUGUUCCUCAGUGCUCCAACCAUUCGAGAAAUGGUUGGAGGAUGUUCCAUUUUCCAAGGGACCCAAAAAGGCGGCUUCUGUGGCUGGUGCGAGUCAAGCGUGACAAGUGGCAACCGACGAACUCCUCGUGUGUCUGCAGCGCUCAUUUCGAAGCCAGCAGCUUCGAACAGAACCGCGCGGAUGGGUGGAAGAAGCUCAAGCCUAAUGCUGUACCAACGGUGUUCCCAUUCAAAGAACUUCCUAAAGAGCGAAGGCCACCAAGGGAACGAAAUGCACACGUGCCUGCAUUAUUCAGUGACGACGCAGCCGCACACAAUUCUUCACGAGAAGUGAGAAACGUUCUUCCCUCAACUACGCAGGAAUUUUCUCCCGCUGAUUCUUCGUCAGACGGGGAGAUAAAUGAGAGAUUGGCGGCUACGGAAACCAACAAUGCUAAUGGGCAACUUACUUCGACCCCCAGGGAUGCACGGCUUCAAGAAACUGCAAUAGUUACUGCGACCCAACCCCUCGAUUCUGAGGCAGCUGAGCUUAGGAAGAAGAUUGCAGAUCUCACAGCAGCCAAUAAUAAGCUUAGACAACAUCAUAACGAAUCUAAGAACACUGUCAAAAAACUACAGAUGCAGGUACGCAAGCUGCAG